rnacentral:rRNA from 1 species
AGCGAAUAGAUACCCCGGUAGUCCACGCUGUAAACGAUGAAAACUAGAUGUUGGGCAGCUUGACUGUUUAGUAUCGAAAGCUAACGCGAUAAGUUUUCCGCCUGGGGAGUACGGUCGCAAGAUUAAAACUCAAAGGAAUUGACGGGGGCCCGGCACAAGCGGUGGAGCAUGUGGUUUAAAUUCGAUGCAACGCGAAGAACCUUACCUACCCUUGACAUCCAAAGAAUUUUGCAGAGAUGCGAAAGUGCCGAAAGGAACUUUGAGACAGGUGCUGCAUGGCUGUCGUCAGCUCGUGUUGUGAGAUGUUGGGUUAAGUCCCGUAACGAGCGCAACCCUUAUCCUUAGUUACCAACACGUAAUGGUGGGGACUCUAAGGGGACUGCUGGUGAUGAACCGGAGGAAGGCGGGGACGACGUCAAGUCAUCAUGGCCUUUAUGGGUAGGGCUACACACGUGCUACAAUGGGGCGUACAAAGGGAAGCCAAGUCGCGAGACGGAGCCGAUCCCAGAAAGCGCCUCGUAGUCCGGAUUGGAGUCUGCAACUCGACUCC